rnacentral:rRNA from 1 species
UAGGGAAUCUUCCGCAAUGGACGCAAGUCUGACGGAGCAACGCCGCGUGAGUGAAGAAGGAUUUCGGUUCGUAAAACUCUGUUGUUAGAGAAGAACAGCGCAUAGAGUAACUGUUAUGCGUGUGACGGUAUCUAGCCAGAAAGCCACGGCUAACUACGUGCCAGCAGCCGCGGUAAUACGUAGGUGGCAAGCGUUGUCCGGAUUUAUUGGGCGUAAAGCGAGCGCAGGCGGUCAAUUAAGUCUGAUGUGAAAGCCCCCGGCUCAACCGGGGAGGGUCAUUGGAAACUGGUUGACUUGAGUGCAGAAGAGGAGAGUGGAAUUCCAUGUGUAGCGGUGAAAUGCGUAGAUAUAUGGAGGAACACCAGUGGCGAAGGCGACUCUCUGGUCUGUAACUGACGCUGAGGCUCGAAAGCGUGGGUAGCAAACAGG